rnacentral:rRNA from 1 species
CAAUAGCGUAUAUUAAAGUUGUUGCAGUUAAAAAGCUCGUAGUCGGAUUUUGGCAUCAUGCCGAACUGUCAGCCGAUUGGUUUGUACGGUUUGGCGGGUGCUCUCCUUCCGGAGGCUCGUUUCCUCUUUCAUUAGAGGGUUCGAUGGUUCCGGGUCUUUUACUUUGAAAAAUUAGAGUGUUCAAAGCAGGCCUAUGCUCUGAAUAGGUUAGCAUGGAAUAAUAAAAUAGGACUUUGGUUCUAUUUUGUUGGUUUCUAGGACCGAAGUAAUGAUUAAUAGGGACAGUUGGGGGCAUUCAUAUUCCAAUGUCAGAGGUGAAAUUCUUGGAUUAUCGGAAGAUGAACUUCUGCGAAAGCAUUUACCUAAGGACAGGUUUUCAUUUUAAUACUAAGGAAACGUAAACGUUAAAGGGGGAAGUAACGUUAAAGGGGAAUUCGGAAGUACUAGGAAUUACCCGUACGUAGUAACCGGUACCUUGGGA